AGUUUCUCCAGCCACUCUGGGCAGCUUCCAACAAAAUAUUAAAAUAAAAUAGUCCUUCAGAUAUUAAAAGCUUCCCUAAACAGGGCUGCCUUCAGAUGUCUUCUAAAAGUUGGAAUUUUGUUGGAAGCUGCCCAGAGUGGCUGGGGAAAC